GACGAACGCUGGCGGCGUGGAUUAGGCAUGCAAGUCGAACGGUAUCAUCCUUUCGGGGGUGAGAGAGUGGCGAACUGGUGAGUAACACGUAGGUUAUCUACCCUCAAGACGGGGACAACCCAGGGAAACUUGGGCUAAUACCGGAUGUGAGCAACUUUUAGUUGUUUGAAAGGUGGCGUAAGCUGUCGCUUGGGGAUGAGCCUGCGUCCUAUUAGUUAGUUGGUGAGGUAACGGCUCACCUAGGCAAUGAUAGGUAGGCGGCCUUAACGGGUGGUCGCCUACACUGGGAUUGAGAUACGGCCCAGACUCCUACGGGAGGCAGCAGUCGAGAAUAGUCUACAAUGGUCGGAAGACUGAUAGUGCGACGCCGCGUGAACGAUGAAUCCCUUCGGGGUGUAAAGUUCUUUUAUAUGUGAGCAGUGCUUCUUAUAUUAACAGUAUGGGGAGAGAGAUAUUAGCAUAUGAAUAAGCAACGGCUAACUCCGUGCCAGCAGCCGACGGUAAACUCG
rnacentral:rRNA from 1 species